rnacentral:rRNA from 1 species
CCGGAGAAUGUUAUCACGGGAGACACACGGCGGGUGCUAACGUCCGUCGUGAAGAGGGAAACAACCCAGACCGCCAGCUAAGGUCCCAAAGUCAUGGUUAAGUGGGAAACGAUGUGGGAAGGCCCAGACAGCCAGGAUGUUGGCUUAGAAGCAGCCAUCAUUUAAAGAAAGCGUAAUAGCUCACUGGUCGAGUCGGCCUGCGCGGAAGAUGUAACGGGGCUAAACCAUGCACCGAAGCUGCGGCAGCGACGCUUAUGCGUUGUUGGGUAGGGGAGCGUUCUGUAAGCCUGCGAAGGUGUGCUGUGAGGCAUGCUGGAGGUAUCAGAAGUGCGAAUGCUGACAUAAGUAACGAUAAAGCGGGUGAAAAGC